rnacentral:rRNA from 1 species
UACGUAGGGUGCGAGCGUUAAUCGGAAUUACUGGGCGUAAAGCGUGCGCAGGCGGUUUGCUAAGACAGAUGUGAAAUCCCCGGGCUUAACCUGGGAACUGCAUUUGUGACUGGCAAGCUAGAGUAUGGCAGAGGGGGGUAGAAUUCCACGUGUAGCAGUGAAAUGCGUAGAGAUGUGGAGGAAUACCGAUGGCGAAGGCAGCCCCCUGGGCCAAUACUGACGCUCAUGCACGAAAGCGUGGGGAGCAAACAGG